CUAUCAGCUUUGGAUGGUAGGAUAUGGGCCUACCAUGGCAUUAACGGGUAACGGGGAAUUAGGGUUUGAUUCCGGAGAGGGAGCCUUAGAAACGGCUACCACAUCCAAGGAAGGCAGCAGGCGCGUAAAUUACCCAAUCCUGAUACAGGGAGGUAGUGACAAUAAAUAACAAUGCUCUGGCUCUUCGAGUCGGGCAAUUGGAAUGAGAACAAUUUAAAUCCCUUAACGAGGAUCAAUUGGAGGGCAAGUCUGGUGCCAGCAGCCGCGGUAAUUCCAGCUCCAAUAGCGUAUAUUAAAGUUGUUGCAGUUAAAAAGCUCGUAGUUGGAUUGCUGCUUAGGAUGUCCGGUCCGCUCCCUCUGGGAGUGCGUACUUAUGGAUGUUCAAGGCAUUGUUGUGAGGCGACCUUUCUGCCAUUAAGUUGGUGGGUUGGCGGGCUUCCAUCAUCUACUGUGAAAAAAUUAGAGUGUUUAAAGCAGGCGUUUGCUCAUUUGAAUACAUUAGCAUGGAAUAAUAAGAUACGACCUUGGUGGUCUAUUUUGUUGGUUUGCACACCAAGGUAAUGAUUAAUAGGGACAGUUGGGGGUAUUCAUAUUUCAGCGUCAGAGGUGAAAUUCUUGGAUCGCUGAAAGAU
rnacentral:rRNA from 2 species